rnacentral:rRNA from 1 species
AUUGCACGCUGGCGGCAGGCCUAACACAUGCAAGUCGAACGAGUGGCGGACGGGUGAGUAAUGUCUGGGAAACUGCCUGCUGGCGGGGGAUAACUACUGGAACAGGUAGCUAAUACCGCAUACCAUCAGAUGUUCCCCGAUGGGAUUAGCUAGUUGGUGGGGUAACGGCUCACCACGGCGACGAUCCCUAGCUGGUCUGACAGGCUGACCAGGCACACUGGAAUUGUGAAACGGUCCAGACGCGUAGGGGAGGCAGGAGUGGGGAAUAUUGCACAAUGGGCGCAAGCCUGAUGCAGCCAGGCCGCGUGUAUGAAGAAGGCCUGCGGGUUGUAAAGUACUGGCAGCGGGGAGGCGUUACCCGCAGAAGAAGCACCGGCUAACUCCGUGCCAGCAGCCGCGGUAAUAC